UACGUAGGGCGCAAGCGUUGUCCGGAUUUAUUGGGCGUAAAGAGCGUGUAGGCGGUUUGGUAGGUCCGCUGUGAAAACUCGAGGCUCAACCUCGAGACGCCGGUGGAAACCAUCAGACUAGAGUCCGGAAGAGGAGAGUGGAAUUCCUGGUGUAGCGGUGAAAUGCGCAGAUAUCAGGAAGAACACCCGUGGCUAAGGCGGCUCUCUAGUACGGUACUGACGCUGAGACGCGAAAGCGUGGGGAGCGAACAGG
rnacentral:rRNA from 1 species